rnacentral:ncRNA from 1 species
GCACGCUCGACUGCAUCUGCAUAAAGCCAUUUCCCUGGACCUAAGCUGUGAUCCGCAAGGUAGCGUCGAUACUUGGACCAGUAACGCUGAGUCACCUGAUCAGUGAGCGUUGCUGGU